UUGCUGUCGUGCCUUCGAUCCGGGCAAAAGAGGCAUCUAUGUUGAUUUUUAGUGUGUCCGCGGUCGGGGGUUGCCAUCUGGAGGUUUUUGACCAAAGAUGAACCGGUUUUAGUUUUUCCAGAUGCACCACAAGAGGGCUAGCUCUCCAUAUCAAGGCUGUCCAAGGGUAGAGCAACAAAGUAUGUUCGAUAGUUUCGGCUUCCCGUUUGCAGAUAGGGCAUAAUGGAUCAG